AUACGGAGGGUGCAAGCGUUGUUCGGAUUUACUGGGCGUAAAGCGCACGUAGGCGGACUGUCAAGUCGGGUUUGAAAACCAGUGGCUUAACCACUGGCCUGCACUCGAAACUGGUAGUCUUGAGUACUGGAGAGGAUGGCGGAAUUCCUGGUGUAGCGGUGAAAUGCGUAGAUAUCAGGAAGAACACCGGCGGCGAAGGCGGCCAUCUGGACGGAUACUGACGCUCAGGUGCGAAGGCUAGGGGAGCAAACAGGAUUAGAAACCCCAGUAGUCC
rnacentral:rRNA from 1 species